GAUGAACGCUAGCUACAGGCUUAACACAUGCAAGUCGAGGGGCAGCAUGGUCUUAGCUUGCUAAGGCCGAUGGCGACCGGCGCACGGGUCAGUAACACGUAUCCAACCUGCCGUCUACUCUUGGACAGCCUUCUGAAAGGAAGAUUAAUACAAGAUGGCAUCAUGAGUUCACAUGUUCACAUGAUUAAAGGUAUUCCGGUAGACGAUGGGGAUGCGUUCCAUUAGAUAGUAGGCGGGGUAACGGCCCACCUAGUCUUCGAUGGGUAGGGGUUCUGGGAGGUAGGUAGCUCGUAUGAGAACAGGGACACGGACAAAAGGACUGAGAGAGGGAGCAGUGAGGAAUAUUGAGCAAUGGGCGAGAGUCUGAAGCAGCCGAGUAGCGUGAAAGAUGACUGCGCUAUGGGAUGUAAACUUGUUUUAUGAAGGAAUAAAGUCGGGUACGGAUACCCGAUUGAAGGUACUUGAUGAAUAAGGAUCGGCUAACUCCGUG
rnacentral:rRNA from 1 species